GAACAAGAAUCUCAACACCCUUUUAUCAUUCUUGCCAUAAUAUCUUCUCACUUUUGUUAUUCUUUCCUUCUCCUUCACUCCUUAUUCUUUUCCUGGGUGUUUUUAGACUUUGAGCUUGUCUUGAUACAUGUUCUCACAUAUACUCUUAUCACUAAAUUAUAAUUAAUUAAUACAUAUUCUCGCUCUAAAUUUUUAUAGAAAAGACAUUUCAUCAACAAAGAUUGAGGUAUAGUGGUGAAUAUUGUAAUAACACAUAUAUUUUUUAAGGCUUAAUUGGUAAUUUAAAUAAAAGAAGGAAAUAAAAAGAAAAAGAAAAAUAGAAAAGAAAGAAUGUAGCCAAGCCCAAAAAGGAAAAGGAAAAGAAAAAAAAAAGACUUUAAAAAGUCUGAUGGCUAACGUGAAACACUACAAUCUAAAGGAACCAAAAAAAAAAGGACGAGCAAACAGAGGGAGAGAAAACCAGCAGGAAAAAAAAAAGAGGGAGAAAAAGAGAAGAAAGGAGAGGAGAAAAAUAAGAACUUUCACCCCAAAUCAUCAAGUUUGAGGCAAUCCGGAGACUCGAGAACUCAAUUUUGAUUUAUUGGGAAGUGUGCUUGAAUUGUAAAUUUGAGAUACUGUCGUUGAGAGCCUCGUUGAGAACGAGGCUGGUAAUUGAAGAAUUCGUGAGUGGAUUCUGUUGUUGAGAUGAGCCACCGCAUUGUUCGUAGAGGCAGUCAUUUCAGCUUUAUCUAGUUUAUUUCUAGUUAUUUCUUUUAUUUUGGGUUUACAUGCCCGACACUCAAACUCAUGUAACUCUGUUAGAUGCUCCAUGGUCUUAGCGUGGGAUGUGGGCUGGAGAUUCUUUUUAUCUUAGCGUUGUUUGGUUUUCAUAAAUCGAUUAUGGAUUUGGUUGCGACUAUUUCGCAUUUUUAUCAUUAAUAACGUUGUUGGA